rnacentral:lncRNA from 1 species
UGUUCCGUUGCGGGAGUGGCGUUGAUCAGAAGAUUUUCCAGUAGUUGUUGAAACUGUUCAUUCGUUAAAGUGAUAGUUUGUGCCAUUAUUCCAGAUUCUGCUGGUGCGCGACGGCUGCGUAACCAAUAUCCAGAUGAGUUGCAGUUUUCCGUGAUUCUCGGCAGAAAAAUCCAGCGAAUCCUAUCAAGAUGUGGCUAAACUAUAAUAACUUUGUUUCAAUCAGGCUGUGCUCUUGUCCACUGGGGUGCAUUGGCGUAAAUUUGAACAUCAAGACUUCCCACGGUUUCAAGACUCCGAUAGUGUUAGUAAACUCAGUUUUUGGUACAAUACAAAAUAUUUGUAGAGGCUUCGUUGAUUCAAAUGGCCCCACAUUAGGCACGAAAUUUGUUACACUAGAA